UACGUAGGCAGCGAGCGUUGUUCGGAUUUACUGGGCGUAAAGCGUGCGUAGGCGGUUUUGUAAGUUUGGUGUGAAAUCUCCCGGCUCAACUGGGAGGGUGCGCCGAAAACUGCAAGGCUGGAGUAUGGGAGGGGUAGGCGGAAUUCCUGGUGUAGCGGUGAAAUGCGUAGAUAUCAGGAGGAACACCUGUGGUGUAGACGGCUUACUGGACCAUGACUGACGCUGAGGCGCGAAAGCGUGGGGAGCAAACAGG
rnacentral:rRNA from 1 species